UACGGAAGGCAGCAGUGGGGAAUAUUGCACAAUGGGCGAAAGCCUGAUGCAGCUAUGCCGCGUGUAUGAAGAAGGCCUUAGGGUUGUAAAGUACUUUCAUCGGGGAGGAAAAACAAAACUAAUAAUUUUAUUUCUUGACGUUACCCGAAAAAGAAGCACCGGCUAACUCCGUGCCAGCAGCCGCGGUAAUACGGAGGGUGCUAGCGUUAAUCAGAAUUACUGGGCGUAAAGAGCACGUAGGUGGUUUUUUAAGUCAGAUGUGAAAUCCCUGGGCUUAACCUAGGAACUGCAUUUUGAAACUGAAAUACUAGAGUAUCGUAGAGGGAGGUAGAAUUCUAGGUGUAGCGGUGAAAUGCGUAGAUAUCUGGAGGAAUACCUGUGGCGAAAGCGGCCUCCUAAACGAAUACUGACACUGAGGUGCGAAAGCGUGGGGA
rnacentral:rRNA from 1 species